rnacentral:rRNA from 1 species
UACAGAGGUCUCAAGCGUUGUUCGGAUUCAUUGGGCGUAAAGGGUGCGUAGGUGGUACUGUAAGUCAGGUGUGAAAUCUCGGGGCUCAACCCCGAAACUGCACUUGAUACUGCAGUGCUUGAGGACUGGAGAGGAGAUUGGAAUUCAUGGUGUAGCAGUGAAAUGCGUAGAUAUCAUGAGGAAGACCAGUGGCGAAGGCGGAUCUCUGGACAGUUCCUGACACUGAGGCACGAAGGCCAGGGGAGCAAACGGG